UGGAACUUGGGGCAACUAUGGUUUG
rnacentral:miRNA from 9 species